rnacentral:ncRNA from 1 species
AAUGUAAAGCGCCAGAACUAAAGUAAUUUAGUUGACGAGGAUGGGGAGUUUAUCGAACUUUCGGCGGGUGCCCCACGGUAACGCACUACCGUUAACAGUUAGCCAAAACUAUGGAGUAAUUCGUAGGACAAAUCUAA